AACGCACCUUGCGCUCCUUGGUAUUCCGAGGAGCAUGCCUGUUAGAGUGUCAUUAAAUUCUCAACCUUACCAGUUUUGUUAUGAGACUGUGUAAGGCUUGGAUGUGGGGGUUUUUGCAGGCUACCUAGUGUGGUCUGCUCCCCUGAAAUGCAUUAGCGAGUUCACUAAGCUCCGUCUAUUGGUGUGAUAAUUAUCUACGCCGUGGAAGGAACUUAGACUUGCUUCUAACCGUCUGCAAAGACAACUUUUGACAAUUUGACCUCAAAUCAGGUAGGACUACCCGCUGAACUUAA
rnacentral:misc_RNA from 2 species